rnacentral:rRNA from 1 species
CCUACGGGGGGCUGCAGUGGGGAAUAUUGCGCAAUGGGCGAAAGCCUGACGCAGCGACGCCGCGUGAGGGAUGAAGGUCUUCGGAUCGUAAACCUCUGUCAGCAGGGAAGAACGGUCACUGUGCUAAUCAGCAGUGAAUUGACGGUACCUGCAAAGGAAGCACCGGCUAACUCCGUGCCAGCAGCCGCGGUAAUACGGAGGGUGCGAGCGUUAAUCGGAAUUACUGGGCGUAAAGCGCUCGUAGGCGGUAUGUCAAGUCAAGGGUGAAAGCCCCGCGCUCAACGGGGGAAUUGCCUUUGAAACUGGCAAACUGGAGUGUGUGAGAGGAUAGUGGAAUUCCAGGUGUAGGAGUGAAAUCCGUAGAUAUCUGGAGGAACAUCAGUGGCGAAGGCGACUAUCUGGCACAUAACUGACGCUGAGGAGCGAAAGCGUGGGUAGCAAACAGGAUUAGAUACCCCAGUAGUC